rnacentral:rRNA from 1 species
UACAGAGGGGGCGAGCGUUGUUCGGAAUUACUGGGCGUAAAGGGCGCGUAGGCGGCCAACUAAGUCAGACGUGAAAUCCCUCGGCUCAACCGGGGAACUGCGUCUGAUACUGGAUGGCUUGAAUUCGGGAGAGGGAUGCGGAAUUCCAGGUGUAGCGGUGAAAUGCGUAGAUAUCUGGAGGAACACCGGUGGCGAAGGCAACAUCCUGGACCGAGAUUGACGCUGAUGCGCGAAAGCCAGGGGAGCAAACGGG